GCACCAUCCUGACGAGCACUAGCACAUGCUUUAUUGAUUAGACACUGCCUGAGCCCGGCACACACGUUGGCUAAGUGCAGCUCCACAAAGACCAGCCCCACGCCAAUGAAAGGGGCCACCGAAGCAUUAAAAUCCCACGGUUGCUGUAAAGGAAGCAGCCCCAGGACAUAAAAUUCUGGAUGCUACAGCACAUGGCAAAUGCCCAACUGCACCUAUACCAAGAAAGUCACUGUGUAAUUAUGAGAACUGGGCAUAACCUUUGUGCGGUUUAAAAAGUACUGAACAUGCCAAGAAGCAACAACGGAUUGUCUUCAGGAAACAGUAUAAAUGAGUGGUGAAGGCACUCCUGACAUCGUGGCGUGGUGUAAGGAGGAGAGCAAAGCAAAAUUUGGGGAAUCCUUUCCACUAUUAGAGGGAAUUUCUCCAAGCUGUAGAAAUGCCCUGCGGGAGAAUGCACUGCACCCACUGCAGCUCUGCUGAGGAAGAGGAGCACAGAGCUGCACCCCACGGGACAGAGCAGCACCCGUCUAUCCCAUCCCAUGGACAGCAGCUCCUGUGGGGGUUUGGAGCACAGGCAGAGAUGCUGUGUGUCCCUUCCCGUUGGUUCCAGAGCUCGGUGUUCCUGCUGGAACCCAGGACAGGACAACUCCAUCCCACUGCAGCAGCGCUCAGCCCAAACUGCAGCUCUCUGGGUUUCGACUUUAGGACCCUACUGUAGAAGAAAGGACGUGGUUCCACUUCCCAGAGAGGUUUCCCUUCCCACCCCUGCGCCCUCCAGGCUCUCUCACUCCUCGCACAGAGGGC
rnacentral:lncRNA from 1 species